CCUUGUACACACCGCCCGUCACACCAUGGGGGUCGGUAACACCCGAAGCCUGUAGUCUAACCCGCAAGGAGGACCGCAGUCGAAGGUGGGAUUGAUGACUGGGGUGAAGUCGUAACAAGGUAAC
rnacentral:rRNA from 1 species